rnacentral:piRNA from 1 species
GAGAUAUUAACAGGACUGGGUAAA